rnacentral:rRNA from 1 species
UACGUAGGGUGCGAGCGUUGUCCGGAAUUACUGGGCGUAAAGAGCUCGUAGGUGGUUUGUCGCGUUGUCCGUGAAAACUCACAACUCAAUUGUGGGCGUGCGGGCGAUACGGGCAGACUGGAGUACUGCAGGGGAGACUGGAAUUCCUGGUGUAGCGGUGGAAUGCGCAGAUAUCAGGAGGAACACCGGUGGCGAAGGCGGAUCUCUGGGCCUUACCUGACGCUCAGGUGCGAAAGCUAGGGGAGCGAACAGG